ACCCCUAAAACCCACACACAAAUAUUUAUUCCCCAGUCGGUCUUCUAUCUUUGUGACCUUUCUUGCUCGGCUAUCUCUCACUUUCUACAAAAAUACAAGCCAGAGAGGGCUUCUUUCUUCGUGUUUGGAGUGAGUUGUCGAGCUCCUUUUACCUCUCAGUUCCAUAACUGAUCUUCUGUAGACUGUCAAGAUUGCCGUUUUCCGGUUUUGUACCCUUCAUUUUAAUCUUUACCUUUUUUUGUGUGGACUAUUUGACAUCCUAUAUUGGAAAAACUAUGCGAUAAGGAUUGAACAAUUUUGAUUUCGGAGCUCAAGGUUUAGAGCACUUUUCAUUCAAGUUCUGCCAUGGAAGCCGCCAUUCUCAGCUCUUAUACACCGGUUUCCACAACGACGGACCUGAGGAUUCGAGGAAAGUUUGCUGGAUGUAAUCUCCAUUUCUAUAAUUUGCCACUGAACAGAAUACACAUUCCUCUCAAGUUAAAAUUUUCUGACUUGAGUAGAAGGCACUUUUCUUCACGGAAGGGGUUGAUAUUGUCUCAUGGAAAGAAAGAAUUGCCCAGCUAUUUCACCCAUCAACUUUCAAGCGACUAUACAAGUAUCAGGGCAGCAUCAGGAGAAACACUACAUUAUGGACAGUCUUCAUCAGUGAGUGAAGAUGAGGGAGUGUCACUAACAUCUACAGAUGCCAACGAAUUUGUGUCCUUGCAGCCUAGGCAGAAGCAAUUUAGAAAUAGAUUCUUGAACUUUGUAAGACUGGGUUCCGUCGUUGAUAAUGCUGCUGAGUCUUUUUUCAAGAGUGAGAUAAGGAGAAGGCUGUUUGUGACUGCCAUCUUAAUUGUCAUUAGUCGUAUAGGAUAUUUCAUUCCUCUUCCAGGAUUUGACAGGAAGUUGAUUCCAGAAGACUAUCUCAGCUUUGUCUCGAAAUCAGUUGAUCAACUGGGUGAUUCCACUCCAGAACUUAAACUUUCUCUUUUCCAACUUGGGGUCAGUCCUCAGAUAGCGGCAUCCAUUCUUAUGCAGGUAUUAUGUCACGUUCUUCCUUCUUUAGUGAAGCUGAGAAAAGAGGGCUUAGAUGGGCAUGAGAAGAUCAAAAGUUAUAUAUGGUGGAUCUCGCUUGGUUUUGCAAUUUUGGAAGCUCUUAUUCUCUCUUGUCACUCACUUCCAUAUUCAAUAUAUGCUGCCAAUCAUAGGGUUAAGCAUGUGUUGAUGACUAUGUCCCUUUUAGUUUCUGGUGCAAUGACUAUGUCAUGGAUCUGCGACAAAAUAACCGAGUCUGGAUUUGGUCAAGGAUCAACUUUGAUUAUUUGUGUGGGCAUUUUGACUGGCUACACAGAUACAUUGCAGAAAAUGUUAACUCAAAUAUCAGGAAGUAGCGGGAACUGGUGGCUUUAUGUACUUGCAGUACUAGGUGUUUUUACUGUCGUUACAAUGUGGGCUGUCGUUGUGAGUGAAGGGUGCCGGAAAGUUAAGCUGCAGUAUUAUGGUUUCAAAGUUGCUUCUGGUGCAAGAGAGGAUUCUCUAGUUCCAGCAGUGGAGCCUUAUAUCCCAUUCAACAUAAAUCCAGCAGGAAUGCAGCCUAUCCUUGUUACCUCUUAUCUGUUGGCACUUCCCGGCAUUCUUGCAAGUCUUCUUGGUUCAAGGUUUUGGGAACACAUUAGAGACGCUUUGAAUCCUGACACUUCACAUGGCGCAGAUCCAUGGGUUUACUAUACAGUUUAUGCUUUCUUUGUCUUCCUCUUCAACAUAUUUGACAUUGCGAACAUGCCAAAAGAAAUUGCUGAUUACUUAAACAAGAUAGGUGCUAGAAUUCCGAGUAUAAAACCUGGAAAAGCCACAAUUGCAUAUUUGACAAAGAUUCAAGCUUCAACGCGGUUCUGGGGUGGUCUGUUAUUAAGUGUUUUGGCCACCACAUCCACCAUUCUAGACCAUUAUUUGCGGCGCAUCAAUGAAGGAUAUGCAAUAGGAUUGACAUCAGUGCUAAUAAUUGUAGGUUCGAUUAUUGAAUUGAGAAGAUCUUAUCAAGCAUAUAAUGUAAUGCCAAGUCUAAGUAUGGCUUUGAAGCGUUAUGGUGUAUGAGAUUGGAGUAUGGCUCUAUUCGAGUAAAUGGGAUUCAGUUCUUGCUUGCAUCAUUGGUGCUGAGAAUAUUUUGCAUAGUCUAGGAUGUUCUUGAGUGAAAUCUUAACUACCAGUCAACUUUUAAAACUUGGAAGAUUGAAGAUGUCACUAUCAGCCAACUCUUCUCGGUCAAGACACAUUUUCCAUACAUAGCAAGAUACAGGAUGACUAGCAUGAAAUAGCUGAAUUUAGACAAAGACAAGCAUGACACGGAUGGUUUAUCGAUUUGUUCACAUAGCAUCAUCGUUUGGCUUUCUUACGUUCCAAUGUUGCCACAAACUGAUGAAGUGCUGUCUGAGCAUUAAUAGAGUUCAAGAUACCUGCAGAAUACGCAUGUUCACCAUGUAUAUAAUUACAUUUUUUCAAAAAUACUGUAGAUGGCCAAGUUAUGGGCAUGAAGCAAGUCUAUUCUUCUCUUGGCAUGCAAAAGAGGAUGUGAUUUUGCUUUAUUUUUGAAAGGUUAUGUUUACAAUCUGCUUGUGUUUGUUGAAACGUGUGUAUCAGUGUGAAUUUUUAUCCAUAUUUACGCGAUGAGGACUAGUCUGUA